rnacentral:rRNA from 1 species
GUCUACGGCUAUGCCACCCUGAACAAGCCCGAUGUCUGAUCUCAGAAGCUUAAGCAGGGUUGGGCCUAGUUAGUACUUGGAUGGGAGACCACCUAGGAAGACCAGAUGUUGUAGACA